rnacentral:rRNA from 1 species
AUUGAACGCUGGCGGCAGGCCUAACACAUGCCAGUCGAGCGGAUGAAGGGAGCUUGCUCCUGGAUUCAGCGGCGGACGGGUGAGUAAUGCCUAGGAAUCUGCCUGGUAGUGGGGGAUAACGUCCGGAAACGGGCGCUAAUACCGCAUACGUCCUGUGGGAGAAAGUGGGGGAUCUUCGGACCUCACGCUAUCAGAUGAGCCUAGGUCGGAUUAGCUAGUUGGUGGGGUAAAGGCCUACCAAGGCGACGAUCCGUAACUGGUCUGAGAGGAUGAUCAGUCACACUGGAACUGAGACACGGUCCAGACUCCUACGGGAGGCAGCAGUGGGGAAUAUUGGACAAUGGGCGAAAGCCUGAUCCAGCCAUGCCGCGUGUGUGAAGAAGGUCUUCGGAUUGUAAAGCACUUUAAGUUGGGAGGAAGGGCAGUAAGUUAAUACCUUGCUGUUUUGACGUUACCAACAGAAUAAGCACCGGCUAACUUCGUG